CGCUGGCGGCGCGCCUAACACAUGCAAGUCGAGCGAGAACCGGAGCUUCGGCUCCGGGGNACAGCGGCGAACGGGUGAGUAACACGUGGAUAACCUGCCCUCGGCACCGGAAUAUGCCCGGGGAAACCCGGAUUAAUGCCGGAUGGCCCCACAUCCCUGCGGGGAACGUGGGAAAAGGUAGCUUCGGCCUCUGGCCGAGGAUGGGUCCGCGGUGGAUUAGCUUGUUGGUGGGGUAAUGGCCCACCAAGGCGACGAUCCAUAGCUGGUCUGAGAGGACGAUCAGCCACACUGGGUCUGAGACACGGCCCAGACUCCUACGGGAGGCAGCAGUGGGGAAUCUUGCGCAAUGGGCGAAAGCCUGACGCAGCGACGCCGCGUGCGGGAAGAAGGCCUUAGGGUUGUAAACCGCUUUCAGGAGGGACGAAGCCACUCGGGUGAAUAGCCCAGAGGGUGACGGUACCUCCAGAAGAAGCCCCGGCUAACUACGUGCCAGCAGCCGCGGUAAUACGUAGGGGGCAAGCGUUGUCCGGAUUCAUUGGGCGUAAAGAGCGUGUAGGCGGCCAGGUAGGUCGGUUGUGAAAACUGGAGGCUCAACCUUCAGAGGUCG
rnacentral:rRNA from 1 species